AAAAUGUCCUUUCACUGCCAGGUUGCAAUCAUUGAAGAGAUUGGCUAAACAUUGAAUACCUAUGGAAGCAUGUAUUGGAAAAGCAAGAAAAUGAUGGCCAGCCUUCCUGGAAAACAAGUACCUCGUGAGAGAGAACAGCGAGAGAAGGAGUACAAGCAGGGUGAGUGGAAGAGGGAGAAGAAUGCUGCCCACCGAGCAGGGAGCCCGAUGUGGGACUCUAUCCCAGGACCCUGGGAUCAUGACCUGAGGAAGAAGGCAGAUGCUUAAUGACAGAGCCACCCAGUUGCCCCACCAAUGCUGUCUUUGAAAAAAGCGUAUAAAUAGUACAAGGAGCUGAACAAAUGUAAGUCAUUUUAUUAUGAAAUAGCUAUUACAUAGAUCUGCGUGUGCCUA
rnacentral:lncRNA from 1 species